CAGGAAAGCAAGAGGAAGAGCACAGAAUGCAAAUGGCUCCUCGAAAAAAAAGGGGUUGAUCUAAGAAGCCCCCAAUAAAAGGCACUUACAUUGAAGCAGAGGCUGAAUUCACAUCAGCCUGAGAACUUCUCAAAAUGUUGGGAGCAUCUCUCAUUGUCCUUCUGGGGAUCUGGUGCACAGGAUCCAGUUCCCAGCCUACAGUGAUUCAGGAAUCCUCCAUGUCACCUGCCCCAGGACAGACGGUCAAACUCUCUUGUUCCCUGAGCAGUGGAUCAGUAACGUCUUAUCCCCAAUCCUGGUAUCAACAAAAAGAAGGAGGUUCUCCAAGAUUCCUUUAUUAUUACUACAGCAGUGCAACCGCAGGCACUGGAGACCUCAGCCGCUUCUCUGCCUCCAAGGAAAGCAACCAAAAUAAAUGGUAUUUGACCAUCAGGGACCUCCAGCCAGAAGACGAGGCUGAUUAUCACUGUGCUGUGUGGUAUAGUGCUAGUAAUGGGUUCCACAGUGAUACAAACCUAUGAGGAACUGAGACAAAAACCUUUACUACAAGGAGGAGCAGCAGUCGCAGAGUCAUAAGUCUGUAAGAAAAACCAUAAAGGAAGUUCUAAAAGAUGUUUUAAGGAUCAUGAACACAAAAAAAAGUGUUCGAAGGGACAACUCCAAGGCUCGAAACUUCAUUUGAAGAUUUUGGGGAAAGAACAAUGCCUGAUAUGGGUAGAUCAAUAGUUCUAGAUCACUAGAACAGAAGGAAAUUAGCUGAUGGCUCCUCUCUGUGACCAUCUGGAGGAGCUCCUGCCCUGAACCUCACCUGAGAGGAACGGAAACCAAAUUGCAAAAAAAAAAAAAAAAAAGCCACAUCAGCUAGUUUCUUGAAAAGAAACUGCUGUUUUCUGAUAUAUUAGACUCUCUCUUUGUUAGCUGUUUUUUUUUCUAAUUACUUUUCUAUCUCUCCUGAGAACUUGGACUCCUGGACAAAAAGGGGAGAUGUAACAGCUUGGAGAAUGUUAGCAGUUCUUGAGAAAAGAU